rnacentral:rRNA from 1 species
AGCGAACGUUUGCGGCGGGCCUAACACAUGCAAGUCGAACGAGAAUCCCUUCGGGGAGGAAAGUGGCGUACGGGUGCGUAACACGUGGAUAACCAACCCCCUGGUUCGGGAUAACAUCGGGAAACUGGUGCUAAUACCGGGUGUGUCUGCGAGGCCGUCAGGUCUUGCAGAGAAAGACACGCAAGGGUCGCCAGGGGACG